rnacentral:sRNA from 1 species
UUUAAAGCUUUGGGUAACGGAGCGCUAUUCUAGUGCACAAAUUGACAUUCGAAGGCGGGCCUAAGAAUCCGCCGAGGGCAUACCGAUGAAGUUCCUGGUGGUGGCUUACGACGCCCAGUCGAGGGUUGCUGCUGGGAGUUAAGGCCGAGGGGGAUCCGCAACGGCAUGCGGGCGCUACCCUUGUCCGUGGAGGCCUGAGUAUGUGGUCUGCAAAGAUUACGGCUCAGGGUAUGAACCUGCAUUAGGAAGGAACUUAGUGCAGCGUAGCCUGCCUUGAGGUGGAAAAGUUGGGAAGGCGUGUGGGGUGUGAAUUGUGUUGGCCGACACGGUUCUACCUGCCGGAAAUUCUUUUCUGCAAAAGAGGCUAGUGUGUCAAGGCGUGUUAAGGAAACUUCUAGAGCGUUAACCGGCGGGGAUUAAAGUGCGUCCUCAGUGGUGAUCAAGUUUUGAGUGUGGCGACACCUCAGGCUGGGGGAAAAGGGAAACCGCCUGUCGGGAAACCGCGGGAACCCAGUGGGAAAACCUACUUGACCUAAGACGCAAUAUUGACCUGCCGGCAUCCUAAGGCCCAAAGAGGCA